rnacentral:lncRNA from 1 species
CAGAGUACUCUACUGAUUAAAGGGUGCUUUCGCCGAGACCAAACAAGUCAAAGAAAGGAAGUUAUGUGUGUAUGUGCUCAUGAUGAUCCAUCAUAAACUUUGAGCAAAUUGCAGUUCUGAAAAAUUCCAAAUUAUACUUUGAGAGAGCCUUCCAACCUCAAUCUACACAUCUGAUGAUGUAUAAUUUUCCCAAAGAUUAAUUUAAGAGCUUUAAGCGCCGCCGCCCUCCAAUUGGAUGGCCCAAGCCUUUGUAUCUUUCUAACAUCCAUAUAAUUAGUUACCACAAUAGUCCAACAAAUUCAAUCAUCUCUCUCUCAUAGUAUAAUUAGUCCAACAAGAAUAUCCACAUACAUAUUAUAUAAGAGAGAUUAUAUAUGAAAGAACUCCAUACAUACUUACUGGCUGAGAGAUGAUGAGGCUUCCCGCAGCGUCCCUCGUCACCGCCGCAUGUGCUCCAGAAAACCCACCAGCGAUAAUAAUUGUGAAAUGAAUGGGAGUAUGAUAGUUCACAAGGCCCCAAACCUUCCGUAGAAAAAGGAGGGGAGGGAGAAGUUUGAGCUUCCAUUAUUGCCAGUUGUAGUUUUGUACAGGCGAAAGCUGCUAAUCUUCUGGAUCGAUCCUGAUCCCCGAUUCUCAGAUUCUUACUACUGCAUCUAUUUUAUUUAUCUUCUGUUUAGGAAACUAAUACUAUAUAUAUAUAUAUAUAUAUAUAUAUAUAUAUAUAUAUAUACACGCACACACACACUCGAAGACUUCAAAGUUCAAAGUCAAUGGUCGACGUGAGAAAAGGGCCUAACGAGGAAGCAAACAACAGCAAGGAAAUUGAAGCAUAAGAAUUCAAAUAGUAAUUUUUAUUUUUUUUUAAUAAAAAUUGAAGCAUAAGAAUUGAUCAAUAUCAAUAGCAAAUGCUUGAAAUUGUUACUAUAUGCUAUUUGUUAUCUUCUGAUGACCAAUUAUUUUUAGUAAGAAAGUUAUUUGCCCACAAAAGGGAAUUUUUUAACACAUUAUUAUUAUUAUUGAAGUUGAUACACAGAAUUAGGAUUAGAAGACGAGGAGAAAAGAUGUAAAAAUAAUAAGGAAAAAGGAGGAGAAGAAGAAAGAACAAUAAUGGAAAAAAGAGAUUAUUAGACACUAUCCUUAUAAUGAGGGCAUUUUUAUCUUUUUGCUUUUGCACAUAAACUUGGCUUUAGAGAGCAAUUUAUAGGUUUUGAGAAAAGGACCGGCUAGAAGAAUUAAAAAACAAAAGCGAAAUAACAUGGAAGCAAGCAAAAGGCAAAAGCCAGAACCAAGAUGGUACAUGUGUAACCAAUAUGAAGUGGUCCCAAUUGUUCAAUAGGUUCUAAAUGGGUACUCUGUUAUGCUUAAAUGUCUUAUAUCCCUACAAUAACAAGCACUUUUUGGACGAAAAUGCUUUUCCAACUAUCCCUUGUCCCUUCCGAACAAAAUUCGAACCUUAAUAUUUCUCCGGAAGUUGUCCUUCUGUAUUAUGUUGAAUUAAGGCGGCAUAGUUGAAUAUAUUAAUAAGAUUUUAUAUUUUUCUGUUUUUAUGAUUCAAAUUAUUAAGUAUUAAUCUUCAAAGAGUUUAAGUUGACAAAGGGCUUAAAUUAAAACUUUUGAAAUAGUACACUUGGCAGACUUUAAAGUUAUAAGUCAAUGGUUGGAAACAUGAAAGUACUGACUCAAAAGAAUACAACAAAAGCAACAGCCAAUACAAAAUGGCCCAAUCCCCUGAACAGACCAUUUCUUAUACACACCAGUCCAGAACUUUUUUUUUUUUUUUCACACUUUUCCUCCUCCUUCGUUUUUUCCCUUCUUUCUCUUGUACGCACCUUGACCGGACCACCCAAAUACUGAUUUAACUACUGUUCCGGACCGUGCAGCCCAACACUUACCCAAUCCUCCAUUUUCUUUGGACAACUCAUGUCCCGAAUACCCUUUAACAAAUAUAUUGUUGGCUUCCUUAGAAAAUGAAUAUUAAGCGUCAAGGCCCACAAUAAAAUUAUAAAAUAGAAGUCUUAAACUUUGACGCUGAAAUUUUUGAGUUGAUGAACUGAUGAAAGUUUUGUUUGUUUGAUAAUUAAAUUGAUUUUUUUUUUUUUGGUGUAAGUGAGAGGGUUCCAUCCGAGGUCUCUCAUUGACACUCAUUUCUUUCAAAUCAUCUAAUCCAUCUCUUCCUGCUCCUCUUCAAAUUAACUUGAUUUAAGUCUAACCCGUGAUGGUGACUAGAAUCGAACCAAUCCAAAUAAAUUCAAAACUUGAUUUAGCCACUGAAUUGAAAUAUUUCAAUUUGAAAUGUUGUUGUUGUUGUUGUUGUUGUUAGUAUUAUUAUUAUUAUUAUUAUUCUAAAAUCAUUAAUACUGUUGUAUUGUAAAUAUUGAGCUAACCUUGUAAACCAUAUUACCUUGGAUAAAUAUGUAAAGUACAGCAUUUUGUGUGUAAAAAUCAACUAACUUUGGUCAUGUAGUACAGUAAUAUGAGACAUUAAUACGAAAAGAUUAUCAUUAUAAGAACGAAUUGCUUCUUGCCAUAACUACGCCCCAUGCUACGACUUGGCAGCUACAGUGAGCAGGUUGCAUUUGUUUUGAUGCCUUGAAACGUAAAAUGAAGGGUUGUAAGGAUGUAAGGAUGAAUUAUUUCUUGGGCUUCAAAUUUUCUGCCAGGAAGCCCAGUCUCUUGGCAUGGGAAAAAAAAAAAAAGAGAAAAUGUGUCCAACAAUUUUAGCAUUGUUUUUUUCACACGUACAUGCAUUUUUAAAUGUAGACUUAUUUAAAAAUAAAUAAUAUUGAAAUUUAUAUUUGAGUUUUGUUAUGAAAGUUGACAUAUUAAUUAUUUUUGUUUCGUCUCUGAAAUUGUUACGUCCCUUAGUAUAUAUCAAAUUUUUUGUUAACUGUUGCCUACAACAAUUGCUUGCUAUUUUUUUUUUAUUGAGGAAUAGAUUUCACAUUUUGGUGAAAAAAUUCCCCUGGAUAAAGUGGUUGAAUAACUAAAAAUGAUUUGGGCCUAACAAAAGAUGUUUAGUAUGUUGCCUGACAAAAAUUUCCCCUAGAUAUACAUAUAUACACAAAUGCACGCAUGCUAGUCCACACACAUGCGUGGCGCGCGCGCGCACACACACACAUAUAUAUAUAUAUAUAUAUAUAUUUAGAGUUUAUACAGCUCCCAACUCUCUGUUCCUUUUUUGCUACCGAAUUUUCUCAUCACCAAACCCAGCUGCAAGAAGUCUCAACAUUCUUGCGCAGCUUGUUUUGUUCUCACUUGAUCCUUGCUGGGCUCUGAGGCUUUGAAUGUUAGUAUAUCUCCGGAAGUAGUCCAAGUUUCAAUAUCAUCAUACUUCAGUUUAUAUAUUUUACUCACCUCGUACAAUACUUCUUCAAUUUUAGCAAUUUCUCCAUCUUGACCUGUAGAUGAAUGACUUAAAAGUAUUAGCAUGGAAUGAAUAGCCUAAAGCUUCAGCCAAGAUUAUGCAGUAUAAAAGGAGAAAAAAAAAAAUACUUGAGAUACUCACAUGAACUUGCUUCCGCGACUCUUACACAAGUAGUUGUCAGAUUCACCUUCUGUAGUAGAUUUUGGCAAACACAUUAUAUAUGUACCGUAAAUAAAUUAAAGUAUUAUUUACAAGUUUCAAAGUGUUUGCUUUGGCUUUUAAAGACUGUUUAACAACAACGGAUUUGCACCCACACCAAAAAAAGAAAAAAAAAACCAAUAAGACAGGCUCUUUGUAUGUUUACUCAACUAAUUUUGGUAUAGAAGUUCUGAAAAGCCAAAACCUCCUUCAAAUGCCAUAGAUUUUUUUAGAAUCAACUUGUUUCGCUUAAAAAAUAACUUAAAAAGAGAACAUUAAUAUUGGGGUGAUUGUUUUCACAGUUAAAAGCAAUUUGGAAAAUUAGUUGUUGAUAGAUUGCAAAGGAGACCUUCCAUUAGAUUAAUUUAUAAAAAGCACCCCUACUAUUGCCACCUAACAACUGGAAACCACGAUCUCUCUCCAAAUUUGUAAAGGACAUGGUGAUAUACAAAAUUCACGAUAAGCAUCUUCCCAAUUCUAAGUUAGAUUUAUCACGAAAUUCUUAUUUUAAGUGAGUUCACUAAAAAUUUAAAAUCAUUAAUGUUAUGCUACCACAAAUCUUGCACUAUAUUAUGGUCGGUGGUGGAGGAGCAAUUACCCGAAAGAGAAACACAAACCAAAUGACGAAUUAGAGUCAGAUUGGCCAAACUUGUGUAAUCCUUGAAUUUGUCAAAUUGUCAAUUAAUGACGAAUUAGAGUCAAAUCGAAGCAUAAGAAGUGAUCAAUAUCAAUAGAAAAUACUUGAAUUUGUUAAUAUUAAUUACUAUCUUGUGUAAUCCUGCAAGACGCCAACUGCUCCGGACGCUUCGUCCAAGCCCUUUUGAUUGCCCGGACAACUCCAAGUUGCCUACCAAAACUAAUAUAGGAUUUUGGGCUUCAUCCAUCCGCUAAAGACGAACUAAGCGUCAAAAGAAGAUUAGCAUCAUUCACUCUUUAUUUUAUUGUUUUGAAUUUUUAAAAAAAUACAAGUUGGAUAAUGGGUACUUAAGGAAAGACAACCAACCCAUCUAAUAAAUAAUUUGAGUUUUCUUAAUCCAACCGAUCAAGAUCCAUCAUCGUUGAAAAUCCAUACUUUUUAAUUUUUAUUUCACUUUUUUUUUUCUGAAAAUCCCUCUCAAUGAAUGUUCAUUGGCACUUCUUAGAUAAAUCAAACAUUUUCUUUAUUAGUUCUGUGUAUUAGCAAUAAGUUUUUUUCUAAUGUUUUUUGCUUGUCUUUAUCAGAAUUUGCAUGACAUAUGUCGGUCAUACUUAUGUUAUAGUCAAAAAUAGAAGAUAAGGGAAAUUUUUCUUGGUUUUUCUUUUCUUUUUGUUUUUGUUUAAAGAAGAGGAUUCGUGAACCUAAAAUGGAUCUGACCAAUAUUUUUUACCUUCUCUUAAGUAAUGGCCAUUCACUCUUUGAAUUUGCAUAGUGGUUGCAAGUUUUUUAUAUUCUACUCGGGUUCAAAUCCUCUUCCUCAUGUUUCUUUUCAAAAUAUUCAAUUAAUCUUUCUAACAUUGUGAGUAUAAAAUAUAUACAUAUGUAUAUGUGUGUGUAUGUAUGUAUAUAUGUAUAUAUGUAUGUAUGCAUGUACAUAUGUAUAUAUAUAUGUAUGUAUGUAUAUAACAUUGAAAACUGAGUUUCACAGGUUAAAGGGCGAAGAAAUGAAAAACUAAUGAGAAGUGAAAACACUAUUAUUUUUAAAGUUUUAAUGAGAUGUGAAAACACUAUAUUUUUAAUUACCCAUACUACUUCGUUUUUGCUUAAUUAGGAGUUAGAACAAAAAGAACAAAGUAGAUGGCAUAAUCUGAUUGUUCUCAGUUAGAAUUAAUCAAAUACAAAAGUUAGUUUAAUUCAAUGUGACUUAAUUAUUUUUAUAGGAAAAGUGUAUCAUAAUGACCAGACACAGCCGCAUUCGUUUUGCGCACCAUUAGGUUACAAAUAACCACUUUUUGAGCAUGAAAAGUCGUCAAAACAUAUCUUCAAAAAAUUUGACUAUUACAAGAUCUGCUUCACCAAGAAAGCCCGAGACCUAUGUGAUCCAGACCAAAUCCAAAUCUGAAUGUAUAACUGGAAAAACUUGGACCUCUCUGGACAUGAUCUAACCAUGGAUCAGGCUCGGGUCAAGCCAAGACCUGGCACCAAAUCGUAGUUCAUCUUUUUUUUUUUUUCUACUCAGGAGGUAUCCGGGUUUCGGGUACGCCGGAUCCGACUAAUCCUCCUGAGAUCCGAGAGGAGAGGCCCCAUCCCCUCGAACCGGUAACCACUGGGAAUCGAUCCCUGGUGGGGGAGAAUGGACAACAGUUCCUAAGGAGGCUGUGACCAACCAAAUCGUAAUUCAUCACUUUGUUUCGUUUGUCCAAAAUCCAUUUGCAUAUUUCAAAUCUAAUUAGUGUAUCUUUCAAAACUAAUUUGAGCAAUUCCAUGAUGCUAUACAUCUGCGGUUUAUCAACCCUCAACUUGUUUGACAUUUCCAGUGAAAUAGAAAAGUGAUGAAUUAGCUGAUUUGAACUUUCAAUAACCAUCUUUCUAAGGACAAAUUUAGCAAUGUUUAUGGCCAGUGUGGGAGUCAAGAAUUUAAUGCAGGGUGGCUAUUGACAUUCAUUAUAAAGUCUAGAAAUCAUUUGCUUUGGUUUUUCUCAAUUUUACAAUAGAACAAAAGAAAUUCAUUGCAUUUAAUCGUACGAAAACCAAGAAAAGAAUUAAAUUUAAAUAAUUUAAGAGCAUGCGAUAACUACUAUCCAAAAAUAAUGGUUUAAUUGAUGGCUGAUUUGGCACAUCGAGUCAAGCAUGAGGGGAGGUUUUAGUGGCUAAUCCGAAUCAUUAUCCUUUUAAGUUUUAUACUCAUUUCUUGGUCGUUCCAAGACGCAAAAAGGGAGCUUUUUAAUCCAUGCAACUUAUGGGACAACCUAUAAGCUGCACAAUGACCACAGUAAAGCUUAGUUCAUCCUGAUACUUAAUUUUAAAACUUCCAAGGGAUAGAUUGAAUCGUUGUGCAAUGUUCUUCUCCAGAUCAAUUUUACGGGCAGAAGAUGGAAGUUCAAAUUUUAUCUUGUCCUCCUGAUAUUUUGCCUUGAUCACCCACAUGUUGCUAUCAUCUUCUAGCCUUGUUGCAUCUAACUGAUGGUGUUCUUCAAUAUUUUCAGUAGCGGGUUGAACAACUUUUUGUUUAGCAAAGACUUGGUUAACCUUUCUUUCUUUACGAGGGGGCCAUCUGCGAAUACCAUCCUCCCUACAUAUACGCUUCAAUGUAGAUCGACUGACUGCAAAUUUUAGAAUGGAAAACUUCAGUGAAGGAACAAGCCUAUACAAUGUGUAAACUAGAUAUUUCCAAACAGAUCCAGAUUAAAUCAACAUGCAUUAACCAACAUUUGAACUCAAUUCUGAUCUAGAGAAAUGCGACAGUUAAGAAUUACCUCCAAUAUUUUUUGCAGCAUCUUCAAGUUUCCGCAUAGAAUUUUGUUCAAGAACCUCACGAGUAAUUCCAAGGUCGCUUUUUAAAGUACAACUAGGCUCUUGCAUUUUUAAAUUAGUCACUUCAUUGCCACUCUGUUCUAUAAUAGCAUCAUCUCUUCAGGAUCCUCCACAAUUGGUUCAUCAUGUGCUAUGCUGACCAUGUUUUGCACGAGCUCCUGUCCAGUUGUAGAUCUGACAAUUCCAUUUUGCUGUUCAUAAAUACCAUCCAUAGAAUUGUGCGCAACAUCAACUCCUGCAAGAUUUAAUUCUUGAUAUGAUAUGUUGACAAAGCCCUGUGCGCGCUCUGGUCUAGGUGGAGAUCCAACAAUCACACCCUGCUGUCCAUGGACACCAUUUAUAUAAGCAUUUGUAGUAUCAACUUGCUGAGAUGAGAAAUCAAGUUGCAUCAUUCCUUCUCCUCCAUGUACUUCUCUAAGCCUAGGUGUAGAUUCAACACCAGUAGUAUUGCAGAUUUCAAAAGAAUCAAAUUCAUCCUCUGGAGAGACCUUUAUAACCUCAACAGUCAAUUUCUGCCCCAAUUCUUGUCCUGAAGCAAUCUUAAAAGAAUUUUGGAGACGUUCUUUCAAUGUCUCCAUUAGGCUGUUCAGCAAUGUCCUAGGAUCCCCAUAGUCUGCUUCAUCUUCCCCAUAGUCUGCUUCAUCUUCAUCUUCUUCAUACGUAGGUAGAAAGAACUCCAGUACAUAAAUGCAAUUGUUCGAGCAAGAGCUCUGCAAACAAACUGCAAAACAGGAAGAGUACCCAAGGGAUCGUGCCUUGGGUACCAGCGGGUAGUCUGUUAUGCUUAAUUGUCUUAUAUCCCUACAAAAGCAUGCACUUUUGGAUGAGAAUGCUCUCCCAACUACCCCUUGUCCCUUCCGAAUAAAAUCUACGCUACCAUGAGAACUUAAUAUUUCUCCAGAAAUAGUCCAAGUUUUAGUAACACCAUAACCCAGUCCACAUAUUGCAGUCACCUCGCUCAAUGCUUCUUCAAUUAUAGCAAUAUCUCCACGUUGACCUGAAGAGGAAUGGCUUAAAAAUAUUAGCAUGGAAUGAAUAGUCUAAAGCUUCAGCCAAGAUUAUGCAGUAUAAAAGGAGGAAAAAAAAAUACUUAGAGGUACUCACAUGAACUUGCUCCUGCGAAGAGGCUUACGCGAGUAGUAGUCAGAUUCACCUUGCGUAGUAGAUUCUGGCAAACAUAUUAGCCAUGAGCCAUAAUUAAAUUAAAGUGUUAUUUACAAGUUUAUAAAUUAAAGUGUUAUUUACAAGUUUCUAAGUGUUUGCUUUGACAACAACGGAUUUGCCCCCAUAAAAAAAAUAAUAAGACAGGCUCUUUGUAUGCUUACUCAACUAAUUUUGGUAUAGAAGUUUCAAAAAGCACAAAACCUCCUUCAAACCCUAUACAAUUUUAUAAUCAACUUCUUUUGCUUAAAAAAUAACUUAAAAAGAGAACAUUAAUAUUAGGGUGGCAGUCACCAUAGGUUUCAUAGUGACAAGCAAUUGAAAAAUUAGUUGUUGAGACAUUGCAAAAGAGACCUCCCAUUAGAUUAAUUUAUAAAAAGCACCCCUCCUAUUGCCACCUAACAACUGGAAACCCAUGACCUCUGGAAACCAUGAUCUAUCCCCAAAUUUGUAAAGGACAUGGAGAUAUACAAAAUUCAUGCCAAGCAUCCCCUAUUCAAGUUAGAUUUAUCGCGAAAUUCUUAUUAAGUGCCAAUGCUACCACAAAUUUUGCACUAUAUAACACACAAGGAGACAAUGGUUGGUUAUGUUAUAAAUUAACCCCUAUAUCCAUUACCUAGUUCAAAUAAUAAAUUAAUUAGUUAUCUUUAUAUCAGUGAUCACAGUAAGUAUGCUCUGAAGUGACCAUAAAGUCGAGGCAUGUAGUAAUUAUCCGAAAGAGAAACACAAAUGAAAUGAUGUCAACUAGAAUCAGAUUGGCUCUUUAAUUUUUUUUUUAAUUUUUGAUAACAGAUGCUAAUUAUUUACGACCUGGGAUUCGUCCUCUAAGCUCCUCUGUUUUUUUAUAUAUAUAAAAGGGAGGGAGUCUGCACCCAUUUCAUAUAUAUUACCUAAUUUAUUGAUAAAAAUUAUACUAAUAAUUAUAUAACUCAUAAAUGAUAAACAACACCACCCCCGGGUCCUUGUCAGCAAUAGGAAAGAAGUAAUUAAGCAACUUGAAAAGAGAAAAGUCGAACCUGAAGCUUCUCCAGAACCCCAUGUCGAGGUAUGAAGCUAAAAACAGAUGCAAUUUCCAGUACACCAAUGGGGAGGUGCUGAGUAGGAUGAUGAUAGAUUGGCAACGCCCAGUAUUCCCGGACACGGCCGACCGCAUAAUCACGUUGAGGAUACUCUCUAGGAGUGUAAUGGCCCACAUCCUCUGUAAACUCAGGCAACCCACUGCGGAACACCCGACCAGGGGACCAAUCUCAUGAUCAUCAUCAUCUUCAUCGACGGGUAAUAAGUACUCCAAACAGUGCUUCCUAUAUUCACGUAGUUUCUUGAGGGCUUGACCAUCGAAGCCGUAGUAAAGGAGAGCAAAAGGCUGGUCAGGAGUUGUCAAAUACGUUUUGUCCUCAUUCUUCACCAAGCCCCAAAACUGAACUAGACACCGAAGGUAUAUUAUUUGUUUAAGAUGUAAAAAACGUGUGAUCCACUCCUUAAUCACGGCACCGUCAGCAGCUGCAAUAGGAAAAUCAGUAAUAAAAAAUAUUAAAGGGUGCUUGCCAGUAUAUACUAUUGUACCAUUUAUUUAUUUAUUUAUUAAUUGCAGAGUACUCUACUGAUGGACCAAACAAGUCAAAGAAAGGAAGUUAUGUACUCAUGAGUCAUGAUGAUCCAUCAUAAACUUUGAGCAAAUUGCAGUUUUGAAAAAUUCCAAAUUAUACUUUGACAGAGCCUUCCAACCUCAAUCUACACAUCUGAUGAUGUAUCCAACCUGAACCUAUAUGAAGACCUCUAAGCGCCGCCGCCCCCGUUGCACCUUCCAAUUGGAUGGCCCAAGCCUUUGUAUCUUUCUAACAUCCAUAUAACCGUUUAAUUUCUCAUCAAACUAAUUUUUUUUCUAGAAAUUUUUUCUGUUCUAAAUUGUUCAUGCAAAUUUAUUCCCCGGGAGUUUUAUCAGAGUCAGACUAAAUAUAGCUAUGACAAAUUUAAUUGCCAUAAAUAGCUCAACAAAAAUAUCCACAAAUACAUACAUACAUAUUAUAUAUAUAUAUAUAUAUAUAUAUAAGAGAGAUUAUAUAUGAAAGAACUCCAUACUUACUUACUGGCUGAGAGAUGAUGAGGCUUCCCGCAGCGUCCUUCGUCAUUGCCGCAUGCCCAAGCCUUUGCACAUAUAUCUAUCUAUAUACACACACACACACACUCGAAGACUUCAAAGUCAAUGGUCGACGUGAGAAAAGGGACUAACAGGCAGAGGUACAAACAAGCGAAAUGACGAGGAACCAAACAACAGCGACCAAGGGUUCAAUAGGUUCAAAAAGCUCAAAUUGUUCACACGGUUUCAACAGAUCGUGAAGAAGUUAGCUGUCGUUUAUGGGUAAAGAUUAAUCUCUUGCACUUUCACCUAAUCAGAUGCUGUACAGAUCGAGGAACGAAGUUGAUGCUCAUCAGGGCCCAUGCGUCACUAGCAAGUUGUGUCAUUUUCUUAUAAUUAACUAGGAUGGGAUAAAGGACGGAGAUGCCCAGUUUAGUCAAAUAAUUUGUACUAAUUCAAAAUGGAUCAUUAAUGAAUUAAAUUUGUUUGUUUUUGAUGAAAUUUAGUUACAGAUAAACCAAAAUAAAAUAUUGAACCAAAAUUAGAGCAAACUUUCAUCUAAAUAUGUAAUCAUGUAAACAAAAAAAUAGUAAGUGUUAUGCUUGUUAAAGAACCACAACAUUAGAGGACUUCAUCCAGGUUACAAUCUACACUUGCAAUUUCAAGGGUAGGUUACAUUACGGUUUAAUUAAGAUAUCCAUUAAUUUCCGAAUGAUGUACCUACUCAAAACUUAUAAGCGUCAUCAGGGGUUAGAUUUUGCUAUCUUUCCAUGCUCUCAGAUCAUUUUCAACAUUAGGAAAAAAAAAAAAAAAGAGUGAAGGAGGGGAGUUAACAUGGCUGUAUGCAGGAAAAUGCAAAAUAGUAAGAGCCAAAGUGAGCAAGAAAAAAAAAACAUGAAAUUGACUUUAUAUUAUUGGUAGAAACAAGAUACUUCAUAAGUUUCCUGACUUAUCAACCUCCAAAUUGCAUACAACAAAUCUUAAAUCUGAAUAGCAUCUACCAUACUCAUGGCUAACUAAGUAGUAUGGCUGAUAUCAAAGCACGUACAUAAAUAAGAUAAUAUCACAUUUGUGAAUCACUAUAGCUGGGGACUUGCUGAAAAGAAGUAAUAAUAAUCAGGAAUUUACCGAGAAUCCGGCCAAGCAGAUUUAUUGAAACGUUUGACAGCAAUCCAAGAGCCAUCAUCUUCAAGCUGCCAAUUGUAGACAACAUUUGGAGCUUUCUCUACAUGUUCUGAUAAAAAGUUUUCAACUGAGAAUCCUGAAGUUGCCACCUUCAACUCAUCUAAACUGCAUUCUUUAAAUGCUGGCAGUUUCAUCCUUCAUUUUCUCCACAUUUCUCUGAAACCCCAGAAGGAAAAACAUCAGAAAAAGGGGAACAAAGAUUACAUUUUUAUACAUUUAACAGAGUUUUAAGAAUUACCAAGAUCAGAGGAAUAAGGGACGUUGGAUUUGAGGUUGGAAAGCCACCAGCAAAAGCCUAAUUUAGAGCAGCGAGCUCCCAUUGGGAUGAAGACGAAUAAUUCUGAAAAACAAAACCGGCAAUCAGGUCAAGAAAACACGCAGAGAAAAAUAUCACAAAUGGAUAGCACAAAUCAUAGGGACAUAAAAUACAUGUAACCAACCAAGUCAAUUCAAGCGCCAUUGCAGAAAAAAACCUGUAAAAAAAAAAGGCUUGCAAAGAGGUUAAAUACGAUCACGGGGACAAAACACGAGAAGCAAAGUACAAGGGUCAGAGUUAACCAAAAAAGUGGGAAGUAUCGGACUAACUCAGAUUGGGUUGGGUCUGGAGUACCCUGAGCAAAUAUCUGCACCAGAAUACACUGUGUCUGACUAGAGCAACAGCAGUCUACAAGGAGCUGGAUAACCCAGACACAAUCACUUGGAGUCCAGAGGCAAAUGGGAAUUUCACCACAUCAUCAGCCUGUGAUUUGCAUGGGAAUUAGCAAAACAACAAGGAGAAAGACAUGGCCUGGGAAAGAAUAUGGAACCUUUAAAGGCCCUAGUAGAUGGAAGUUGCUGCUGUUGAGAGUGAGGCAUGGACGAUUGCUCACUAAUGCAGAAAAACAUUACAGACAUCUGCAUCCUUCCAGAAAAUGUGAAGUAUGUGGAGAAGAAAUGAAACAGCACUGCAUGCAUUGAGAGACUGUGAUUGGUCAACAAAAUUCGGAGAGGACUUGUCUCAAGGGAAAGAUGGAGAGACUUCAAAUCAAAGUCCCUGAUUCAAUGGGUGGAUUGGAACGUUAAGCAGAGUGACAUAGGAAGGAUCAAGAACGUACUCUGGCCCGUGCUCUCCCAAGAGGUAGUGCACUGGGCAUGGACAGCGAGGAAUGAGAAGGUUCAUCAGAGGCUGGACAGAAAGCUCAAAGCCCGUCCGGAGCAGCUAAUUCAGCAAGCAGUAGAGGCUCAGGAGCUUACCAAUACUCGCACGGAGAACAGGAGCCAGCCGAAAUACAUCAGCUGGGACAAACCACAGGAGGGCUGGAUUAAGAUGAAUGUAGAUGGAGCUGCAAAAACAUAAUCCAGGGAGGGCCAUACUCUUGGGACUUAGAAUCGCCUACAGAGCAAGCAGGGUACAAGAAAGUCAUACUGGAGACAGAUUCUCAGUAGCUAUGUCGUUACUAGAAUCAGCACUAGAGGAGAGCCAAUAUUGGAAUAUGAUAAAAAAUAUAAAAAAAUGGAUUGAGAAAUGUGUUUAUUAUGUAAGCAAAAUAUUAUUUGGAAUUUUCUUUACUUGUCGGCAAGCAAUUUGUAGGCUUUGAGAAAAGGGGCCGAUAGGAAGAAUAACCGAAAUAUCAUAGAAGCAAGCAAAAGCUAGAACCUAAAUGGAACAAGUACAAAGCCUUCACAUGGCUCUAAUGGUUGAAGCUGUCCCCGGACAUUAUUUCCAAAAUAAAAAUUAAAAAAAAACCCCGCAAUAGAACUUAACAAAACCACAGAUUUAGACCCACUAAAGUCUAGAAAAAGGAUUUUUCAAAAAUUUUGAAUUGCCACUCGAUACUGGAUUUAGUUAUACCGAGUCACCUAAAAGUAAUUUUUGAUCUCUAAAACACAAAUUAAAAUCCUUUAACUAGAUAAUUCCAUGUCUUUCAAAAUCAGAGAAAUAAGUUCGAAAGCUCAUUUGUAAGGAGAAACGGUCAAAGUUUUAUUCUCAAGCACCCCCUACACCUAACAAAACCGAUUGCAAGUUUAAUUUCGUUCUUUCAAUUUUAAGGCAAAAAUGAGUUAAUCUAUUGCUAAACACAUAAUAUUUACUUAAUUAACACAAAAUACCCAAACAAAUAAAAAAAAAUUGCAUAACACAUAAAGAGUGAAAUAAAAUGAAAUGAUUAAUUUCAAAGCUCUGCCCACUCGAUCAUAUGCAACAAAAUAAAAAGUAAUUAAGAAAAAAUAUAAAAGAAAAAAGAAAAAGAAAAUUACAAGAUUCAAUUGCUCCUGCGUCCCAUAUGGGUUACAUCACUUCUAAAAAGAGAAAAUAAAUUAAUUACAAUGUGAAUUGACAAAUAGAUAGACUAAUGAAGCAAAAGUUGACUAAUCUAGUCUUAGGACUUAAUUAAAACUACCCAAAACAAGUUCGGUGGUAAAUCUGAAAGAUUGUAAAUUUUGGGGUGAAAUCACAAAUGUGUCAUCUUUCUCCAUUGAAACAAUGGAGAAACCUGCGUAACCUGCGUUCUUGUUUCUUCAAUGGAACUUUCACCGGAAACUAGAAAUCAUCAUCUCCGGCGCGCAUUGGACUUGCCAGAUCUUCGCCCUCUCUCCCUCACGCACACCAAAUUCCAUUGGGCAACCAAAAAUAGAACGAAAGGAAAAUGUAGAAGAAAAUCAAAACAAAAAUCUCUGGGUCUUUGAUGGCUUUCCGGCGAAGUCACGGGCUCCGAUCAGCGUUGGACUGAUCGGAGCUCCGCCCCACGCGCUCAGAUACAAGAGAUUUGUCUCUUUACUUCAAGUUCUCGUUUAGGCAUUUCUUCAAACAGUAGAUGGGCAUACGAAAAUUCUAAAGAUCUCAUACAAUUCCAACGAGAGAAAGACCCAAAACUUGUAAUCAAAAUAUGAUUUCAGUCCAAGAAAGCCAAAGAGUAUACUCAGCCAUGAAAAUUGCAAAAUAAGUGCAGAUUAAAAAAAAAGUCAAAUUGAGAUUAAAGUUGGAAAGGAAGUAAGAACUCACAGUGCAUUUUAAAUGACGACUUGAUAACCGUGGUGGUAUGGACAAACUCCGACGACCCAGCAGUGGCAGCGGCUCCUCCUCUGUUUCCCGUCGGUUCUUUUAUUAUUAUUAUUUUUUUUUUUUGGCCGACAGUAAUAGGAUAAUGGCAGAUGGAUUGAAAAAGGGGAUUCUUUUGUGAAAGAUGGAGCUGAUGAUUAGGGAUUGAGGAAAUCUAGCUCAUGGCGGAUGAAUUGGGAUUAAUGGUGAUGAAUGCAAGAAAUAGUGGUCCAAGUCCUCAGUUUCUAAUAUCUAUCAAGUUUUCAAAAUUGGGAUCCUAUUUAAGAUCUUGUUUUUGUGUCUGCAGACGAGAUCGUAAGAUGGAUAGAUCCUAUAAAAAAAAACGUAAAAAAUACUCGUACCAAUAAUUUUUGAAUUUGCAAUUCACACAUAGAGCAAUAAAUAAUGUAACUCAUAUGCAAUAAUAUAAUAGAUAACGUAACUUAUGCCGUUAUGCGUAAUGUAACUUAUGCUAUCUAAAGUAUUUGGGGAGUCUAAAAUUAAAAUAAAAAUUUUGAGACUAUAUGUAACAUAUUGUAAUGCAUGUGAUCAAACUAAAAGUCUUAUUCUUUCUUAUUUUUAAAUCCAAACGUAAUUAAUGGACAAGAUAGUUGGAAAAGUUGAUUUUAUAUGUACAUAGACCCUUUAAGUAUUUAUUAAUAAGAUAAUUAAACACAGUAUAUUUAGUUAAUUAUAACAUUUAUUGAUGAUUACAUCAUUUUUUAUAUGUAUAAGAAGAUAAAUAAAUAUUACAUACAUAAUGAAAUGUUUGAAAUAUAUUUUCUUUGACUAAAAAAUUAGUAUACAAUAAACAAAUAAUUGAAGAAGAUUGUGAGAUAGAAAUUUAUGACAAAAUCAUGUACUUUGGGUUCAACUAUUUGGCAAGUAAGUUUUUUGGAUGUUUGUCUAAAACUUUACUGUAGUUUACUGCAGAAGUUUUUUAAAAAAAUUUGUGAAGUGUGUAAAUUUUUGAAUAUUUUGAAGUGUAUAGUUUAAAAAUUUUGAGAAGUUUUUUAAGGUUACUGUAGCUAAAGUUUUAAAAAAACUUGUAGCAGAUAAACUUGGCAAAAAACUCAAAUGCCAAACAAGGCUACAAAGCCUACUACUUACUUACCUAUAUAUAACAAAAAUACUUAAUUUACCAGAAUAAAAACCCCAAAUAAGUGUCCUAAGUGAUAACUUACAAGCAAUCAUCUUCUUAAUGGAUCAAUUUUAAAUGUUCACCAUUUUUGUGGGUAAGGAAUUAGCAUGAUACACUUAUAUGUGCUUAAAGCUUCAAUUCUAGUUUUCAAUGCCACAGACGAUAUUCAAUUCCGAGUUUUCUAUAGAAAGUUAUGAUCAAAAAAUUUUUAUAGUAAUAUCUUGAAAUAAUACGAUCUUACGAUCUAGAAUGCAAUCCCACCGAUUUUGUUUGUUUAGGGUAAAAUUUUGAUCCUAAUUACAAUUCUACAUCCGGAUCGUGAUUUUAACGACUAUAAUGAGUAAUUGACCUAGUAAAUUUUAAUUUUAAUUUAGAAAUUAGAUAAGUAAUCUUAGAUAUAACAUGGUGACUUUCAAAUCGAUAUCGAAUUUGUAGAUAAGUAAUCAUAAAUAUAAUUAACGUAGUACUCCAAGAAACUAGAAUUGAGAUUGUAGAUAAAAUAAUCAUAAACAUAUAUCACAUAAUACAAAUGUUUCAAAGGUUGAACACUUCAACUAUUGAAAUAACUAGAUGGUUACCAAUUUAAAUUCUAACUCCGCAACUAGUUGUACUAGACAUGGCACCUAUAAAUCACAAAUUUGACUAGUAAUAUAGUGUCAAAAUUUGAGACUUUUUAAUAUAUUAAUGUUAUCUAAUUAUAAGGAUAACCAAAUUAUCGUAAAAAUCAAAGUUUACUCUUAAAAGUAAUUAGUGCUAAAUUAAAGGUUUUGUUGUGAUAUGAAUUAUCUAAUGAUAGCAAAUGCAUUGAAACAAGCAAGCAAAGAUAUCUAGAUAAAUGCCAAUUACAAUCUCGUGUUCAAAUUAACAUACACUAGCAUUUAUAACAUUUACAAUUCCGUGUUUAAAUGCACAUCCAAUGUGUGUGCAAUCAAAAAAUAUAUAAUAUCUAUGAUCAUAUAUUUUAAAUAAAAUUUUUAUUAUCGAAACAAACUUUAAUCUUUUAAUAAUGUUCAUAAAAUAAUUUUAUAUUAGUAGUUACAAUAUUUAGUGGUGGUUAUGUUGAAAACAUAUAAUUAAAUAGUUAAAAGUAAAAAUAGUGAUAAAUAGUUAUAGAUAGUUAAAGUAAAAGUAGUUUUUAUAAGGGCAAAAAAUAAAUUUUAUAAAAUGUUAUCCCCGGAUCCAUUCUUCAAACUUUAUAUAUAGUAUAGAUAACCAUACACCUACAUUCACUGAGUAUUCUAUUAUAACAAAAUGUACCUACAUUUUCAUAGUUUUCACAUUUACUAUCCCUUCUUCUUUUUUUUUCCAUUUGUUUAAGGUAAUUUAUCCAAUUUUUGCCAUUCAAUUUUUUAAUUCUGCUUAUUUGUUCAAAAGCGAUUUUUCUUUAUUUGAUUUACCUUUUUUUAAUUCUAUUUAAUAUAAUUUAACCAACAUUUUUCUUUUUCUUUAAGAAAAAACACUAUUCUUAUAAUUUGUAAAUGUGAUGGCUAUCCCAACUAUCCAUGACUAUGCAAAAGAAAAAAAAAAAAAGAAUAGUUGGUGCAUAUACACAAUUAUCACAUUUGAUACAUGAAGUUUUUCAAUUAACUAAUUACAUUAAUGAAUUAUUCUACGACAUAAAUAAUCACAAAUAACCAAGAGAUAAUCCAAAAUGCAUAGAUGAAAUUCACAGUAUGGAAGCAUAUAAUUUUAUAACCUUUUAAACUUUGUAUGAUUUCUAAAGGAAGUAAUUGACUUUCGAGAUACCAUGUAUGCAUAUUGAAAUUAAUAUCGUAUAUUUAAUAGUAACUUGUAUAGUGCUUGUAAUUAGAAUGUAAAAGGUAACUAAGACUGUUAAUUAUCCACAAUAUAUAUAUAUAUAUAAAUGUGAAAAAAAAUGUUCAAAACAUUAUUCACAUUUUAUUAAAUGAAUUUUUUUGCCAUUCACUUUCAAAAUAGUAACUUUACGUCCUUUACAAAAUUAAGUUUGUAAAAUUUUGUCCCAACCUAGGUUUUUGACUACUUUUUAUCUUGAAUCAAUCAUGUGACCUACACAAGGUCAUUUUUUUAUGGCAAAAAAGUUAGAUCUCAUUUAUAAUUAAAUAAAUGAUGAAAUUCAUAUUUAUUUUUUGCCAUUUGUCCUAAAAAGUAAUCUGACAUUUUUGCAAUAUUCAUUUUUGUCCUAAAAAGUAAAAUCUAACAUUCAUAUUUAUCUUUGCCAUUUGCCAUAAAAACAUUUUUAUUUAGUAUGCAAGAAUUGAAUCUUUUUCAACUGUAAGUAUUCCUUGUAGAGUGAACUAUAAUCCAUUUGGUACCAACAUGGCAUGUUAAGGUCGGGAUCGUAAUUCUGAAAACACGACUAGUAUGUUAAGUAGCUUGUUAGCGAUAACAAAACUCAAGUUUUGAUGAAAAAAAAAAAAAGUCAUUAAUUCACAGCCGGUUGUCAUUAACACACGCAAAAAAAUUUUCCGGGUUCCAUCUAGGGGUGCAAUCAAGUCAAGUUGCUCGCGAGGAGCUUGCGAGCGGCUUAGUAAAAAGACCGAGCUCGAGCUACUCGUUACAUUCAACGAGUCGAGUUUGAGUUCCAAAAAUAAAUACUCGAGUGCUCGACGAGUUUAAUCGAGUUUUUAUAUUAAAUUUAUAUUGUAUAUUUUGAAAAAAAAAUUAUAGGCUUAUUUCAAAACUCGAGCUCGAGCUCGAGUAGAUUGGGCUUGAUAUUUACUCGAGUUUACUCGAGCUCAAACGAGUUGAGCUUAAUUUUAUUUUAUCGAGUCGUGCUCGAGUCCAAAUUUUUUUAUUUGUUCGAACUCGAGCUCGGGCUCGAAUAGCACUGAUUCUGAUCGAGUUCGAGCUCGAGUAUCGACUUGGGUCGAUAGUAAAUCUAGUUCCAUCCAUCAUUAAGGCUGGUUUGUUAAGCCAACCCUACAGCCAGUUGCCUUAUUUUAGUUGGGGCCCAAUUGACAUGUGAAAGAUGUCCAAGCUGAGUUGUCUUGUUAAUACUUCUGCCCACGGUGGAGAGUUCCCUCUACUUUCCAGUUUGCACACUAGAAGCAACCGACAAGAACCAGUCAAAAGUCAUAACCACAAGAGUUGGUCAGUCCUGCGUUUUGCAGAUAGCUUUGCCUUGGGGUUUUGGGACCCAAAACAACCAAUUUCUUGAUUUUUUUUUCCCAAACGGUAACAAAUUUCAUUAAUCAAAGAAAGGAUUACAUUGUUUGAGCAACUGCCCUUACAUCAAGUGUGGCUAAACUAGUAAGCCAGAUUGGGAAGGACUCCUUCCAACUAAUUUCCUCAGACAAGCUAAUGGCAAAUUUUGCCAGCUUAUGAGACACACUAUUACCACCUCUUUUAACAAAAGAGAAGUAACAAACCUUAAAGGCUUGACAUAACUCCAAUACAUCAUGCAAGAUGGUCCCUGCAGUUGGGUGAUCCCCGUUCCUAUCUGUAAGCAAAUCCACCAUUUGUUUACAAUCAGAUUGGAUUUCCACUUUGUUCCACCCACACUGUUUAGCCUUGAUGACAGCUUCCCUGAUAGCUAAGGCCUCCUCCACUGCUGGGAUACCAUUCCUUUGUUCACCACCUGCCCAAGCUCCUACUACCAUGCCAUCCUCUCUUCUGGCCACAACUCCCCAUCCUACUCUGCCUCCUUUAACCUCCAAGGCUGCAUCAGUAUUUAGUUUGACAACCCCCUGUGGAGGUGGAACCCAUUUACUACUCCCAUCCUCCUGUGUUUUCCUUGGUUCCGCUACCAUUCCAUCCCCAUUUCUCACAUCUUGAUACUCAGACCACUCAUUAACAGCUUUACUGACUAUUCUUCCUGGACAGUUCCUUUCCUCAUUAAAUUGCACUUGGUUUCUGGAUUUCCAUAUCUGCCAUAGGAUAUUUACUGUUAAGGCAAUGUGAUUCCGUCCUCCUAUUCUGUUCUGCACCUCCAUCAGGCUAUUCCACCAAUGCCAGAAACUGUGCCUGUACUCCUUCAGACCAUCCCAAUCAAUUGGAGCUGCCUUCCAUAUAAGCUCUGCAUGACUACAGAAGAAAAACAAGUGCUCCAAUGUUUCUGUCAUCUCCCCACAACACUUGCAUCUAUCCUCCCCUAUCCCUAUCCUACUCCUGAUCACCUCAUUGACUGGCAGGACCCCAUGCAAGCACUUCCAGAGAAAGUGUUUCAGCUUGUGUUUUAUAUCCAAGUUCCAUAGCACCUUCCAUACAUUAGAGUGACAUGUAUUUCUGCUAUUACUGGCUUCUUGUGGUUCCCUCCUCCUCCCAUCUCUUCUCAUAUCUCUAGCCAGCAUAUACCCAGUCUUGACUGAAUACUGUCCAGAUUUAGCCCACGGCCACACCAGUUUAUCAUUCCCUCCACAUAGGCUGAUAGGGAUUCCCUCAAUCUUCUUGCAAUCCUCCUCUCUAAACAUAGAUUCCAUUACUACCUUGUUCCACUUUCCAUCCUGGAUCAGUUCAUGAACCUUCUGGACAGGACAAUCUGCUGGCUUUGGAGAGACCACCAUACCUGACCCUCCCCCUGGUAACCACCUAUCCUUCCAAAUGUCCACUGUUCUACCAUCCCCCACCCUCUUCCUAGCUCCUAUCUCCAGUACCUCCCUUGCACUCAAAAGGCUCUUCCAUAUCCAAGAGUCCCCAGCCCUUACCUGUGUCUGCCAAAUGGAUUCCCCUUUAAAGUAUUUCCCCCUCAACACCUUACUCAUCAGCAGGUUAGGUUGUGUUAGAAUCCUCCACAGCAUCUUAGCCAACAUAGCACUGUUGAAAUCCUGCAAAUCUCUGAAUCCCAACCCCCCUUUCCCUUUAACUGCAGCCAACUUCCCCCAGUCCAUCCAGUGAGUCUUCCUCCUCCCUUCACUCUCCCCCCACCAAAACCUUGCCAUUUCUCUACACAUUUCUUGGCACAAGCUCUUAGGCAACCUACAACAGGUCAUAGCAUAUGCAGGCAUAGCUACUAUUGCAGCCUUCAACAGAACCUCCUUCCCAGCUUGACUCAACAAUUUUUCCUUCCAGCCUUUAAGCUUCUCCAACACCCUAACCUUAAUAUAGUUGAAAACCUGUCUUUUGGAUUUGCCAAUAACCAUAGGUAGCCCCAGAUACCUACUCUGAUCCACCUGUUUCAUCCCCCCUAGUAAACCCAGAAUCUCUUCCCUCUUACUCUCAUCUGUAUUCUUACUAAAGAACACAGAUGAUUUAUCAGUAUUGAUCUUCUGUCCAGAUGCUGUUUCAUAGAUUUCCAAGAUUCUCCUUACCUGUCUUGCCUCUGUCAAACUGGCUCUACAAAAUAGGAGAGUAUCAUCUGUAAAAAAUAGGUGUGAAAUAGCAGGGCUAUCUUUAGCAAUCUUUAAGCCUAACAAGCAGUGAUUAUUAACUGCCUGCUUAAUCAGACAGGACAGUCCUUCAGACACAAGCACAAACAGGUAUGGGGAUAAUGGAUCCCCUUGCCUAAUUCCUCUAGCAGGCCUAACCAUACCCUUUUUCUCACCAUUUACUUUAAAGGAAUACACAACAUAUGACAUGCAUUUAAACAUCCAGUUUAUCCACAUUGGGCAAAAUUCCAUUUUUUCCAGCAUUUUGACCACAAAAGGCCAUUCUACCCUGUCAUAGGCUUUUGCCAUAUCUAGUUUCAGAGCCAUAAACUCAUUAGAUCCUGUUCUUCUUUGUUUUAAACAAUGAAUACUUUCAUGAGCAAUCACAAUAUUAUCAAUUAUUUGCCUACCAGGAAUAAAGGCUGACUGAUUACUACUAAUGCAGUGCUUUAGGAGAGGCUUCAACCUAUUCACAAGAACCUUAGAAAUGAUUCUAUAUACUACAUUGCAAAGGCUGAUAGGUCUAUAUUGGGACACAGAAAUGGGAGAGGCAACUUUAGGGAUCAAAGUAAUAAUAGUCUCAUUAAUAGCUUUCAGUAAAUAACCAGAAUGAAAGAAGCUAGAGAUGGUAGCUAUCAGAUCAGUUUUAAUGAUAUCCCAGAAAUGCUGAAAAAAGAAGGGAGUCAUACCAUCAGGUCCAGGGGCUUUAUUAGGAUGUAAAGAAAACACUGCUUUCCUGACUUCCAUCUCAGAGACUGGUCUGGUGAGCUUGUUGUUCAUCUGUCCUGUGAUCACCUGGGGAAUGCCAUUGAGUAUUGCAUCAAACUGCCUCGGAUUAGUGGAAGUGAAAAGCUUCCGGAAAUAUCCAUUGAUCUCCUCUUCAAUCUCCCCCUCAGACUUGCACCAAGGACCAUCCUCCCUUUGCAGGGUAGAUAUAUUGUUCCUUCUCCUUCUCCCCGCAGCCACAGUAUGGAAAUACUUAGUAUUUCUAUCCCCCUCUUUCAACCAUUGCACUCUAGCCUUUUGCCCCCAGUAAGCUUCCUCCUUCUUGUAAGCCUCAGCCAGCUGUCUCUUCAGAGCACUCAAUCUCUCUUUUUGAUCUGCCUGCUGCCCUAUGUGAACCUCUGCUAUUUCCUUAUUUAUCCUGUUGAUAUGUGUCUUAGCAUUAGCUUUACACUGCCUGUUCCAACUUAGCAAAGCCAUCCUACACUCUUUAAUUUUCUGUUUUAAUCUGAACCCCCUGGACCCCAUCUGUUGUUUAUCCCAAGCAGCUGAGAUAAUAUUUUUAACUUCCCUAUGCUGCACCCAAUUCUUAUCAAAAUGGAGCCUCUUUUUCCAUUUCUUGUUCUUUGGCUCAGUAUCCAGCAACAACAUGCAAUGGUCAGAGGCCUCAUUUUGAAUGUGCACACACUUAGCUCUAUCAUGAUCUCUACUCCAAUCCCUACUACACAGAAUCCUGUCAAGCCUUUCCCUAACCUCACCCUCCUCAUCCCAAUUGUUACACCAAGUCCAGGGAAUCCCUUCAAAACCAAUAUCUACCAGUUGAUUAUUAUUGACUAAGUUCCUAAAGAUUCUAAAACUUCUAUCACUCCUCUGCUUCCCUCCCCAUUUUUCUCCACUGGAAAGUAGAUCAUUCAUGUCGCCUGCCAAGAUCCAGUUCCUACCCCAUAUAUUAGCUCUAUGUUCAAUGGUUUUCCACUGCUGCUCCCUGAGCUGAUCAAUACUACUAGCAUAUAUCCCAACAAACCACCAAUCCUCCUCAGUCCCCUUCCCUUCCACAUUCAAUUCUAUUGUAAAAUCAGUGAAAAGAACUCUUUUAACUACUAAGUCCCUCCUCCAAAGUACAGCCAGACCUCUAGCUCUACCUAUAGGGUCAACAACAAACAGACUAUCAUAUCUCAGUCUCAUCCUAAUCUUAUUCAUAAGAAAUUUUUUGUUUUUAGUUUCAUCUAAAAAGACUAACUCACGGGAGUGGAGUCUCACAACCUCCUCAAGUUGGGAAACUGUCAAGGGGCUCCCAGCACCUCGACAGUUCCACACCACAGCUCUCAUUGAGGGUUGGGAGCCCCAUUAAGGUUGGACUCCACCACCUUCAGCAAACACUCCCUGUCAACCUCUCCUUCCAUCCCCUUAAAUUUUUUCUGAUCUCCUCCCCCUUGCUCCCCACAGUUUUCUUUUCCAAGAGCCUCACCCUGCUUCCUCUUACCAGACUCCUCUAUCUCCAUACCAGAAUUUUUCUCUCCCAAUGGCACUCUCCUCCCAACCUCCUGAACCAAUCUUCUCCACCCCUUACUACCUUUAUACUUCCCAGCAGGCUUACUCUUACUCAUACUUCCAGCAGCCUGACUUUUUCCCUUCUCUCUCCCCCUACCCUACCCAAUAUUUCCUCUUCUCGACCCCCAUCAAGCCACAUGUUAUCAUCCCCCACCUUCUCAUUCUGAACCAAACUCCCCUCCCCAAAGCUCUGUUCCCCUUUCUCCUCUAUAUUGGGUCCAGCUAUCUCCCCAUCCAAGCUCAGUUGGGCUUCAGCCCCCUUAGUCUUCUCAACUAGCUCUACCUCCCCUUUACUACCACUACUAAUUAUAUUGCCUAUAAUUCCUUCGCCCUCCUUCCCAAUCCAGCUGGUUUCACUACCCCCCCAAGGCAAGAGUAGAUUAAUUCCCUCAUUCUCCUUACCAAAAUCCCUCUGAGACUCCCCAGCACUCUCACCAUAAUUUGAAAAGCCUUUAUUCUGUCUUCUUGGGCUUCUAGAGUUACUAGCUCGCAUCCAAGCUCCAAAUUGUGUUUCUUUGUCCAGGUAAUUUCCUUUAAUCUUACAAUUUUUCUCAUUAUGCCCCAAUAGUCCACAACAAUAACAGAAAUCAGGACACUUCUCAUACCUAAACUCAAUCCAUCGCGCACUACCAUUCAUUCUAACCGUAGUUCCCCUCAACAGUGGUUUCUCAAUAUUAACUUCCACUAAAAUUUUAAUAUGUUUUCCAUCUUUUCCCCCACCAUUAGGAAGAAUAACCUCUUUAACUGAAUCAAACACUCCCCCAAUCUUGCGACCUAUCUCUUUAGUUAUCCAAUGGAUUGGAAGGUUCCAGAUCUGCACCCAAAGCCAAGUUUUACUAAAAGCCAUAACAUCUAUCUCUAUCCCCUCCCUCCACGGCAUCACAACCAAUAGGGAAUUAUCAUACACCCACGGCCUCCCAUUCAAAACUCUGUCCAUAUCAUUUUGGUUCACGAAAAGAAAUUGAAACAGAUUCAUACCAAUUUCAACAACCUUCACAUUCUUAGCAAAAAUCCAUAUAUUACUGGUAAAACUCUUAAUACCUGCAAUAUUGGCCACCUUCUCACCAAUCACUUUGCCAAUGAUGCUCAAUCUGCAUUCCGCCACUCCCUGGAGAAUAUCCUCCCCCUCAAUUUGAAUUCCUACCUCCUCUUUCUCCGAGAGAUCAAAUUUCCUCAGCACUUCCUCAAGCUCCUCAGCCAUUGCUACAAUACUCAAAGACUUCGCACCGAUGAUCACAGGAUGAUGAUCCACUACACACCAGUUCCAAGAGGAAAUCUGGAGAAACAGAAAGAGAGCAGUUAAACGCCAAGUUUAGCAGAUUACGAAAGGACUACUACCGCCCUAUCCUAACAACGAAGACGGCAGCAAAGAACACCGCUGGAAGAAAAAUGAAAACACAGAAAGCAAACUAAGGAAAAACAAACGAAUCUGGCUCCAGAACCAGCUCUAUUAAGAUUGGAAAGCUAGCUCUAUUCAUUAGUUGAGCAGAUCCAGCUGACCAAAUCUUCACGAAGAAAGUACACAAAGGAUGCAGUCCAAAUCCAUAUUCUAUGUGUUAACUUCAGAAAUGCAUUCAUUGUUUAUCAAAGCAAGACAAUCAGAUGAAUCUAUGGCUCUGAAAGAGAGGAAAACGAACUGUAAAAGUACGGGAAAAUUAAAAAACUAAAAGCAGCAAAGUUUAAACCACCCACUAGGGGGAGAGAAUCUCUACUAGAGAGAGAAAGGAAACUCUCAUAGAGAGAGAGACUACCAACCAAUUUCUUGAUUAAAUUCCAUUUUUUUUUAAAUUUCCCUUGAGACACGAAUAUGUAGCAGACACAAUUUUUGGUCAUCCAUUAGCGGCUGAUGAGUAUACUAGGAUGUAUAAACCGCGCGAUGCGCGGUGGAUAUAAAAAUGUGCAUGCCCAGUUUAGCAUAGAUAGCUGUAAAAUAUCUAAAUUUCCAAGGACAUUACUAUUCUUUGAAACAUAAAGAAAUUGGAGUAAAAAAAUAUAACACAGGAUAGGUUUAAUUUAAGUUCUAAAAAAAAAAAAGCUCAUAAAUUCAGGCUAUUACAUUUACACGAUAUAUACCAAUUGGGACAUUUGACGGAUCCCAUUACGAGUUGAAAAAUAUUUUAUCCCAAUAAUAAAAUCUAAGCUUAGGAUUAGCAAUGAGUCAAAUCGAGUUCAAAUAUUGUGAUUAUGCAACUAUGCAAAUAGAAGAGAUAAACUAUGAGAGAGAGUGUGUGUGAAUAUGUUGUACACCGUGCAAAAGAUGGGUAAACAACCAAUAGUGAGAGACAGAGAGAGAGAACAUACACAAUCUGUCCCUCUCUCUCUUUUUCAGACACACACUCUAUCUGUCUCUCUCUUUCACACACAAACAAAUGUAUACCUUUUUUGGUCAACAAUUACAAUUGCAAUACUAACACCGAGGGAGCUAUACAAAUCUUUUGGCAAGUAUUUCAUAAAAUGCAGGAGAAGAACUUCAGUUUCAGACUUCUAAGUGAUUACCACGUCAAAGUAAUAAAAUCUUUAAGGAUAGCCCUCUUCUCGUCAUUGUAGUGAAGAAAAAAUGCGAGACCACCAACUCCACCCAAAACAGUACCAUGCUGCAAAAGACAAACUAAGUGAAUAAAAAUGGCAGGGAAAAAACAAACUAAUAAAAAGAUGUGUGAACAGGAGAAUUAAAAGAAAGCAAGAAAGUUCAGUCAUAAAAGGUUUUCAAAGAAAAGAGCAAGUUAAUUAGCAUACAACUAUAUAAGGUCUCCAGGAAUUAGAGGUGUUUUUUGGAGGCAAUAAAGGACGAGAGUUUGUGCUCUUUGCUGAUUGCAAACAUCUGCCAGAGUGGAAACUCUUACAGGGAAUAAACCUACAGUAGUAUAAAAAGAAACAAUAUCAUUAGCUUUAAUGUGCCAAGAAGGAGGUUCAGGGCUGUGUCUCUGUGUGUGUGUGCGUGAGAGAGAGAGAUCCCAGGAAGGAAAAGAAGACUUGCAAGCUUAGAAGAGGAUUUAUGUUUUACAACUUCAUUCUGCCACAACAUUUUGUCUCAUUUGAAUAACUCUAACAAAUAUCCUCAAGAUUAGACUAUUUCACUUUUCUUGCACAUACUGAGCCCCAACCAUAUAAACAAAACUCAAUUGAACUCAAUUUGAAUAUGUGCAUGAACAUGCAUCAACAAAUUGACAUGCCAUCAAUGUCAGCAGCAAGAUUGUAUAGUGAAAAAUUAGUCAUGUACAUACACAAAAAAAAAAAAAAUGCAUAGGUUCCUCAUUAAAUCCAAAAGCCUCAAGUCCAAGUCUUAAAACAUUCAAGCUUUAUAUAUUGAUGAAAGUUUGUGUGUACUAAAUCACGAGAACAGGAAUAAUGGCGAAUCAGAGGGACAUCUCUACCCAGAGAGUUGCAUUUUCUUUUCAAUAUCCUGCAGAAGUCUCCUAGAGUAGUUCAACGUGCUUUGAAAUGUUCUGAUUGAACAAUAAGAAACUCGCUCAUCCAGGUCAUGCAAAAAUUUAGUAAAAUUACUGGCAAAAUGAAAUUUCUAAUGAUAUCUCAGAAAAAACCAACUAAGUUGGUCUUUGCCUCCACAAAGAAUCUUCAUCAGCAACUUAAACAGGAAAUGGCAGUUUCUAACCAUCCAUCUGACAUCCUUCAGCACGAUAGUUUUUAUAGCUGACAACCUGACCAGUAAUAGAAUACUCCGUUUCUUAUUCAAGUCCACUAACACUAAAUUCAUCAUCAGUUUAUUUCUACAUAUCUUGAUGAUAAUCCACCUCUGCUGUGAUACAUCACCAGAGAGAUAAUAAUAAAAAAAAAUCACUGCCAAAAUGCCUAACAUGAUAAGUACUGGAUAUCCUCCUUAAAACGCAUUCAUUAUGAUUGAAAUGAAAUAUGCUUUCAUAUCUCUCAAUCUUACCGCACAGAUAAUAAAACUUUGAUAUCUAUAAUCUACACAGAGAGAAUAAGGGUAAUGAAUAUUUUUACAUAACCAAUUGUACAUCUCUUAUGUUGAUUCGAUCAGCAAAUAUGGCAAACGUUCAAGGAUUGGCAAAACAACGAAGUCAUGCAGAAUAAUCACAUUGCCCAAGUAAUGCAGAAUACUGCCUUGGAAUCUCUUACUCUUCUAAAUCAAACAAACAAACCUCAUAAGAUACAUGCUAUUUUGUACGUUCUAAGCCUCCAUUAUUUUAGAUUUACCAUUUCGCAUUUUCAACCGCUCAAGCUAAGAACAGUUGACUAAAAAUCUAUAUGAGCCCAUUUCCAACGAGACUUUGCAAACUCCUCCUUGGCCAUAAUGCAUUAAGGAAAUCUCAGAAAAACUUGAAAAUUAAACUCAACCCAGAAGAAAACUAAAGAGUUGAAUUGCAGAGUAAUCAAACAAACAAAAAUCAUCACCUGAAAUAAAUUACUAAACAAAGCUCACAUGCUUAAACAUGAAAACAAACUAUACCCACAAAAAAAAUCUAUCAAAAUAUGCCAAAAAAAACAACAUAGAUAUGUGAUGUGUUAUACCUUUUUAGAGUAUUAAAGGAUUCUGCAGAGAGAUUUCUUAAGAAGGAGAAGAUAACCCUUGACAUUGAUAUUGGUACUGAUACUUUUUCCCCCCCUUUUCCUUCUCAAUUUUCUACUUUCUUUUACAAAUUUGGCACAUGGGUAAGUGGGGUUUUCUUUAUUUUGCAAUAAAUUUUGCCUGACCACAAACAGAAUGCAAGAAUACAGAAAAUAGGUUCACAAAAAUCUGUAAUAUUCUUCACCAAAAACAAUGUUCAAGUUGGCCAUUUAAAGGUAAAAAAAGGAAGGAGAAAAUCGCAUCUAACAGUAUGAAACCAAAACAGACAUGCAAAGAUGAAUCCUCCCAAAUUUUAUCAGAGGCAUACAAGGCAAUGACAAAAUGUAAUUACAACCUCCCACCCAAAUAUUCAGUAGAUAGCCCAACCCAAGCUAGAAAUUUCCAUCUUCAAUGAUGUCAGUGACCCAUUUGGCAACGUGGUAAUUAGAAAAAAAAAAAAGAAAUGCUAAAAAGUAUCGAUUAGGCCAACCUCAGGUAGUUUACUGUAGCUGAAUAAUGAAACGGGUCAGAUGAAAUGCCCGAAUUGGCUGAACAGAGAAUCCAAGAUGUCUAUCUUUCUUUAUUGAUAGAAAGAAACAACAUCAAAAUUGACCUGCCACAAGAAGUUUAAAAAAAAUGAAGAUUUACCAUUUGACAUAUAUUUCAUCUAAACAAGUUUAAAAAUCAACAACAAACUAAUCGGACAAAAAAAAAGAGAAAAAGAAAAAGAAAAUUGUGCUGGGACAAAAAGGAAAUAAGAACUAUAGAAUGGAACCAAAGGGAGCAUUAACUGAAAACUAAAGGUAGAUUUUGUAGAAAAGUUACCUGGAUUAUGUUGAUAAACAGUUUCCUGUAGAUUUUUUUUUAAAGAUGAAGAACAACAUCACCAAAAAAAUCACUCGAUCUGAAAAGGGUAAGAAAAAUACGGCACAACAACAACAUAAAAAAAUUAAUUUGAUCAGAAAAGUAAAUAGGAUAAAAUAAAAGACUUUCUAACCCAGAAUCUAUGCAAAGGUCUACCAAAAAUCUCAAACUUUGAGUUAGAAAUGAUGCCCACAACACACACUGAAGAAUUUCAAUACCAACUUCUCCAAUCGCCAUCGCCUAACAAAGCUGCAAACUGACACAAAUAAGGAAGCUGCAAAUUGACAAAAAAAUAAGGAAGUUGCAAAUUGACCAAAAAAAAAAAAAGAAGCUAAGAGCGAGGAGGCUCAUCGCUACAGCCUCCACUGGUCGUAUCAUUUGGGUGAGGAAAGGGGCGGAGAGGAGAAGCGGCGGAGAGGCAUUUGUUACAACAGAGUCUAUUUUUUUACGCACAGACGACAGUUUUUUGGGAAAACACAAGACAAAAAAACGCAACACCCCAAAGACCAGAACAUCACGUGUCAAAAAACGCACAACCACGUAUGGUUCCAGACAGAAUAGAAAGAGGGAUAUGUUUUUUUCUUGCGUCUGAGGCACACACCACAGGGGCCUUCAGGAACACAGGCCAAUAGCAAACACCUGUAGACCAGAAACCGGAACCACCAAACCAAACAUAGCGCAAGUAGAAGGGAAGAAAUACCAAUCCUAGGAUAUAACUUACCGAGAAAACUCACAACAAAGACUGCUCCUAAGCUGAAAGGAAGGAGAAGACUUACAACGAAAGAGGAGGAGAAGAACCAAACGGAUGACAAGAUCGUACCUCUCCUGAGAGCAAAACAGAAGAUAUGCUAAAAGGGAAACAAAGAACAAAAAAGAACAGAAAAUAUCAGUUCCAGGCUAAAGCUUACAGAGAAAACUCACAGCGAAGAUUGCACCUCACCGGAAAGGAAGAAGAAGAAAUCUUACAACGGAAGAGGAGGAGGAGGAGAGCCAAAGGUAUGGCAGAUGAUCCAGACCACCGCAACCCAGAGAACGCGAGAGACAAAGGCUCGAUGCUCCUUUCGUGGUUCGGAAAGGGAAACAAAGAACAAAGAACAAAGAUAUCAGCUUCAGGCUAAAACCUACGGAGAAAACUCAGAGCGAAGACUGCACCUCUCCGGAAAGGAAGAAGAAGAAAACUUACAAAGGAUGAGGAGGAGGAGAACUGAACGGAUGGCAGAUGAUUUGGACCACUUCAACCCAGAGAACCCGAGAGAGAGAGGCUCGAUGCUCAUUGUGUAGUAAGAAGAGAACCAAAUAUCUCAACAGGCUCUUGUACCAGAGCUCAGAACAUCCGGAUAAGCAAGAGUGCAACAUUGUCCAAAAGGAGGAGAGAGAGAAGGUAGCUAGAAGAAAGGGCCCGGGAUUCUACCAGAUACAGAAACAAGUAUAUCAAUGCGGCAGACAACGCAGCAGAAGGCACAUGGGAUACUGCGAGAGGAGAAGUUGAGAAUAGAGCGGAAGCCGUCGCGCGAUGCGCGAACAAUAUAAUGCUCUCAACCCACUUGCACGGCACGUGGGAGGACGACGAAAACCUCCAGGUCAUCACAGCUCUUCGCACGUUAUCUACUUAUGUUGAAAAGGGACAAAAACGUGCGCAUAGACCUUUCAUUCUUCUAGACUGGUAAUUGUGCAUAUGCUUUGCACCCAUCAUUAUCAAUGGCAUACAAGCAUGGCCUUCUACGAUCUACAACUUGCAAGACUUGUGAAAGCAAUGAAAAUCAAUGCAAGGCUGUGGAGAUAAUAUACAUUUUGAUCGUUAUCUCUAUUAUGACACACAAAUCCUACUUAACUGAAAUUACCUCUCUUCCAUUCUCACGUUCUCCCUUACUAAUGAUUUUUUUUUUUUACUUCCAAUUGUAUAUAUUUCUGUAUAAUACAUUUUUUAUUACACAUUACAGAAAAUAAUUAUAUUCACUUACGCUAUUUUUGUGAUUCUUUCAAAUAAAAAUAUUUUUUGAUAAGUUACACACGUAUCAAGUGUGCCUCGAUGACUAGUAUUAAUUAAAGCUCUAACUCCACUUUGCAUCCAUUAAUUUUUUUCAAUGGCUUCUCAAUUUGCAGCUUCAAUCUUAUUUUUGAGCACGUUGUGUUCUAAACUUUCAAAUUUAUCCCACUUGGACCUCUCUGUUAACUCCAUUGUGAAAUUGACAGAUUUUGCGCGUGGGCUUAAACUCCACGCAAAUGUUAAAUCCAUUUGGCUUCUCAAACUCCACGCAGAUUUUGUACUCCAUUUGUGACCUCCAUUAAGAAACAUUUGUUGACAGGUUCAAUUCUCUUUGUGCCCAUAACUUAUUACUGCUCCCAACAAAUUACGACCCCAUGUUUGGUUUAUAUUUAAAUGUGCUAAAUAGGCGCUUAUUGAAAGGACUUUGAGGAGUUGGUUUUUUUUUUUUUGGUUUAAACUAUAAUUAAUUUAGUAAAGCAUCUGAACACACGGGAAGUGCAAAAAUUGUGAUUGUGUAUAUUCACCUGAUAAAUUAGAUAUAUUUGCACGUGCCCUGGCACAUUUCUUUUUUUUUUUUUUUUUAAAAAAAAUCCAUUCACAAAAGGAUAAACUUUAGUGGAUGCAAAUUAAGAUCCGAAAUGAUCAGAAAUAAGGAGGAGACGUUCAAAAAGGAAAUUAAAUCCAAGGCUAGCCAGCGUGUUGUUGGCAACUAAAUCUAAUCUAUAACAAUUUUUGGACGGCACCAAAAACUGCGGACAAAACCACACAUGUUAUUCAUUAGGUUGGCGCAGGUUUUAAAAAAAUUCAAUGACUCAAGCUGUGCCAUUAGGGGUGUGCAAAAUCGAAAAAUUUCGAUUUACCGACCGAAUUCGAAUUGAAUUCGGAAUUUUUGAAAUCGGUAAAUCGGAAAUCGGAAUCGAAUUCGGGUUUUUCGAAUUCAUAAAUUUCGAAUUUGGUUCGAAUUCGGUAAUGGAGUUUUUCAAAUCGGAAUUCGAAUUCCGAUUUUGAUUUCAAAUUUGUUUUUAAUAUAUAAAUAUAUUUUUUAUACAUGUAAUAUAAAAUUUAUACUAUAUAAUAUUAUAUAAAAUUUAUACAAUAUAAUAUAAUAUAAUAUAAUAAUAUAUAAAUUUUUCCGAAUUCGGUGAAAUCGAAAUUUACCGAAUUCGAAUUUGGAAUUGGUGAAUUCGAAAUCGAAUUCAAUCGAAUUAUCAGAUACCAAAAUUUUGAAAAAUUUCGAAUUCAAACUUUCGAAUUACCGAUUUUGAAUUCGAUGCACACCCCUAUGUGCCAUACUAUCUCACAAUCUGCACUCUUUUGCCUUUGAAGACCGCAGGGUAUUUACAAAUAGUAAAAAACUAGAGAUUAUGAGCUUGCAGCUUUUUCAAUUUUUGUUUUGAAAUUCAUUGACUCCCAAGGUAAAAACCUUGUAUUUAUUUAUUUAUUUAUUGUAAUGGUGUAAGGAUGACAUUUUAAAAAUAAGGAAUAAACAAGAGGAUUAGAAUUCAAGACUUCCCUAAAUAUAUAUGCCACUUAGCUUGUUUAUUUAUUUAUUUUCGUUUGUAUGGAAUGUUUUCUUGAUUCGACCACUGGGCCAAACAAUCUUCUGUGCUUCGGCCAAAAGCCACCGUAGACCUUAAAAAGAGCUCAAUAGCGUGUUGAGCAAUUACAUGUGGUUAUCAAUUUUAAGAUGCAAUAAAUUGAACCAGAAACAAAAGAUAUAUAUAUAUAGAACAGGUAUUUUUAUCUAGAACAAUUGUCUAAUAGCGCCCAUUACCUGGUCUAUUGUCACCGUACUUGCAAUGAUAUCUAGAUUAACAGGAUAGAUCAUUCAAAAAAAAAAAAAGAAAAAAGAUUAACAGGAUAGAUGUAAGCACUAAAAUACUACAUAUCAGGGUUCAAGAUAUACACCAAUAUGCAUGUAACUAAUAGAAAAUAUUAUUAAAGUUUUGGGUAUAUUUGUCGAAAUCAUUUUCGGAUGAAUUAGUUUUAUAUUUUUGACACUAGAUGGUAGAAAGUUCAUCAAAAUAAAGUUUAUAAAUAGAUAGUUAAUUAGAAGUAAUCCGAAAAUAUAAUUGUUAGUUGCUACUUGGUAGUUAAAGGAGAUAUUGGGUAGUUAUGAAGGAUAGUUUAAAAAGAACAUAAAGCGACAACAAUAUGUUUAUUUCAAAAUCCCCUUCCUCCAAUUUUUUUCUUUUGGUGGGACUCUCCUCCUUUAUAUGUAAUACAGAUAAUAAUAAAAAAUAUAAAUUAAUAUAAAAAAUGUAAAUAUCAAAACAACAACGUACAAAACACAACUUUUAAUGCAAAUAUUUGUAUGUUAAUCUAUUAAGGUCUACAUUUAUCAUCGGGUACUCACAAGUCACAAACGAUUUUUUUUAUAUAUAUAAUUUCAUCUCAAUUUCCUUGGUUCCUGGCAUACUUUGCACUUACCCUUGACAAUUCAAUUUACAAAAAAAAAAAAAAAAGGCAAAUUAAUGUUUUAGCUCUAUAGAAAAACAACUUUCUAGUUUUUAUAUAUACUUGUACACAUGAGGAAUGUUUUUCUUUAAAUCACUCCCUAACAUUCCCAAAAAUCUUUAACUUGCCAUAACCUUAUAGACUGCAACUGAAAAGAGUGAAUGGCAAUACCCAAUGUUGGAAUUUACAUAGAAGACCUGCAUUUCCACCAAGUUUUUUCACUAAUUCUAUCAAAGGUCAACAUAUUCGGAAUACAUAUCAUGUCACAUUUUUCUAAGACGGAGCAGACACUAGUACUGCCAUAAACUAGCAAAUUUAGAUGCAGGAGAGAAGUAUAAAAUUGGAAUUUUAAAUUUAAAUUUAGAUUAAUUAUCAUGCACACACACACACAUUUCCUUUCCUUUGGUUGGACAUUAAGACAAGAAACACGGUUUUAAUAAGGCAAAACAAUUCGUUUAGUCCCUCAGAUUUCUCGCUUUUUAUUUUCUUAUUUGAGCUAAGAGCCAAACCAAAUGAUCAUUGGACAGGCAUUUUUGUAGCUAAAAAAAGUAUCCAAUUUAUGAGGUGGAAGAUAUAUAUAUAAUGGCACAUUGAAGUUUAUAUUUGCGUUAAUUUAGUGCCCUCCUAAAUUUAUUUAUUCUUUUCGUUUUAUACGUUUCACACAGAAGAAGAAUAUGGGGGCUCAAUGUCACGUCAAAGUCAAACGACAUCACUUUGCGCCUAAAGUUGGCGAUUGCUAGGGUGUUACUGUUAUUAUUAUUUUUUUUUUUGGGGGGUCAAAAAACACAUGGGAAUAAAAGAUUAAAGAUGCCCUGGCUCUAAAACUCAAAAGGGCCACAUGCAAAUAACUUGCCUAAAUCUGAUCAAUUCUACUCGGGGCAAUCCGUGCAGGCUUGUUUGUGGGGAACUCCUUGCCAAAAUUCACUGGUUCCCUUUGCCGAAAAUAUGUAAGCAAACAGCAAUUCCCAAUAUUUCCUACAUCUUGAAUAGUAUGACCUGAAAAGGGAAGGGGAAAAAAAAAAAAACAGAGAGAGAGAAGGAAGGAUUCCCUUCAAGAAUAUAUCCUGAUUAUUAGUAAACACUUCCAACAGUUCAACUGCUUCUUCCUCGUGGAAUCAUAGGCAACGCUUUGCAUUUUAGGUAGGAGGCUGGAGGAUGGAGUUUACAACUCUUGUCCUUUUGCCUUCCACAUGAAAUCUCUAGUUUAAUACUUUCCACACCUAGACCCCAUCAUGUUGUCUCAGAAGAUUGUCUCAAAUGGAGUCCCUCCAUUGACGGCAACUUCCAACUAAAAUCAGCCUAUGAGCUAGCCUCCAAUGCCAAAGAAAAUGCUCCACUUCCCCCUGCUAUCUCUUUUAACUGGAUUUGGUGUCUCGAAGUCCCAAACAGAAUUAGGUUCUUCAUCUGGUUAGUGAAUCACAAUAGACUAGCCACCAGACAACUUCUCCAUCAAUAGAAUAUUCUUCCGGACAACACCUGUCAACUUUGCUCCUUGCACUGUGAAGACACAGACCAUACCCUUAGGAAGUGCAAUUCAGCAGUGCACUUCUGGACAGGUCUUAAACCACCAUGGCUCCACAAUAUAAACCAUCUCCCUUUCAUAGGCUGGCUCAAAAAAAUCUGCACUGACCCUUCCCCAUCCCCUUUUCUCUCUAUUCCUUGGGGAGUCUUAUGCACUUUUGCUCUUUGGGUUAUUUGGAAUACUCGCAACAAAAAAAUUUUUGAACCUCACAAAUUAGUCUCAAAUCCAGUGAAGUGGUGUAUAGACCUGGCUGUCGAAUUCACGACUCUAGGCCCACAAUCUCAAUCCAUUCCCUAUAAGAAAUCCCAAGUGCUGGUAAGAUGGAUUCCUCCACCUUGUGGAUGGAUUAAACUCAACUCUGACGGCUCUGCCCUUAAUAAUCCCGGGAUUGCAGGUGCUGGGGGGAUCUUUCGUGACUCCUCUGGCUGUUGGAUUAAGGGUUACAGCAGAAACUUAGGCAUUGCGUCUAACAUCCUAGCUGAACUAUGGGGAGUUAGAGAUGGACUCCAACUGGCUAUUGCACUAAAAAUCCCCUGCUUAGAAGUUGAAGUUGAUUGUGCUGAUAUGAUUUCUCUCCUUAAUUCUACUGUGAAUCCUGAUCAUCUUUUCCAUCCAAUUAUCAUGGACUGCAGAUGCCUGCUUUCGCAGCUCCAGCAUGUUAAACUCAGGCAUGUCUACCGUGAGGCCAACAGAUGUGCAGAUGUCUUAGCGAAAUUGGGCAGCAAGCUGGAUCAAAAUUUUAUGAUUUUUGAAUCAUGUCCUCGAGAACUCCUUUUUGCUUUUGAUGAGGACACCAGGGGCAUCUGUUAUCCCCGUAGCAUUAGGACAGUUCUGUAAUAGCCAGGGGAACUUUUGAUUGCUUUUAUUUAUAUUACGCCGUUUUCACCAAAAAAAAAAAAGGUAGGAGGCCUGCAGGAUUCUUUUUUAAUUCUAGGCUAAACAGCACAGAGCUGCUGUUUAGUAGGUUCUGUCUAUGUUCUUACCUUAAUUUAUACUAAAUAUACUUCUUGUUCUAGAUUUGAGGUGAUGAUCAAAAGAAAAUUAUUCCAGACAGCUUUAUGAUACUUCAACUUUGAACAGACAAAAAGGUUUGGUGAAACAACCCCUUUUAAUUUAUCUCAUUAGCUAGUCUAGAUAUCAUUUGCUUAGUUUUUCUCAAUCAUUAACAUAAGAAAUUCAUUGCACUUAAUCAUACAACGCAAAAACUGAAAUUUAAGUCAUUCAAGAACACGUGGAAAUUGAACGUUUCAUUGACUAAUGAGCAAGGAAUAAAUAUCUUUCAACCCAAUUGACGCAAGUGCAAUAACAAUAAUAAUUCAGUUGCUACACCUUGGAAAGGGUUUUCUUAUUUAUUGAGGACAGUCACUUUAACUUUAGUUCAUUUUUUCAUUUGAAGAAUAUAUUGUCAAAAAUGUCUGGUUUUAUCAUAAGUAACAGAAGUCCUAGAUAGUGGAAACAAUAAACUGAGAUCAUUGAAGUGUGGGAGAUUAUUAAAAAAAAAAAAACCAUAUUUUUCCGGUCAAUGAAACUAAAACGUGCUGCUACAUACACGGAAGCUACAUGGGACUAGGCCUGUAUUUCGGCAUUCUUAGCGGCAGAGCACACUUCUUCAUGGAAAAAGUAUAGAAUGAAAAUUUGAUACUCAGAAACAAAUUUAUUAUGCAAAGUUUCAUAAAUGUUCGAUCAAUUUGACCACCAUUUUGAUUGUAGUCCUACCUAGUGAACUUAAUGUGCUCAUAAACGUUCUCAGAUCUUCAUCACAUGUUAUCCAUAUCCAAUCGUUAUCUUCAUCCUGAUACUCAAUUUUAAAACUUCCCAUGGCCAGAUUCAGUCGCUGUGCUACCUUCUCCUCCAAAUCGAUUUUACGGGCAGAAAAUGGAAGUCUGAACUUUAUCAUGCACCCUUGAUAUUCUGCCUUCACCCACAUGCCAUUAUCAUCUUCUAGCCUUGUUGCACCUGAUUGGCGGUGUUCAUGAGUAUCCUUCCCUGCUUUACGAGGGGGCCAUCUGUGAAUACCAUAUUCCCUACAUAUACGUUUCAAUGUGGAUUGACUAACUGUAGAUUUCAGAAAGGAAAACGUCAGUUAAGGAAAAAGCCUUUACAACAUGUAAACUAGAUCUUUCCAAACAGAUCCAGAUCAAAUCACAAUGGAUUAAGCAACAUUUGAAUUCAAUUCUGAGCUAGAGAAGUGCUAUAGUUAAGGAUUACCUCCAAUAUUUUUUGCAGCAUCUCCAAGUCUCCUCGUAGAAUUUUGUUCAAGAACCUCACGAGUAAUUCCAAGGUCACUUUUUAAAGUACAUCUAGGCUUUUGCAUUUUCAAAUUAGUCACUUCAUUGUCCCUCUGUUCUAUUCUAGCACCAUCUCUUUGAGGAUCUUCCGCAAUUGGUUCAUCAUGUGCUAUGCUGACCAUGUUUUGCACAACCUCCUGUGUUGAAGAUCUAACAACUCCAUUUCUCUUUUCAUAAAUACCAUUCAUAGAAUUGUGCGCAACAUCAAUUCCUGCAAGAUUUAAUUCUUGAUAUGAUAUGUUGACAAAGCCCUGCACAUGCUCUAGUCUAAGUGGAGAUCCAACAAUCCCACCCUGCUGUGCAUGGACACCAUUUAUACAAGCAUUUGCAUUAUCAACUAGCUGAGAUGAGAAAUCAACAGGCAUCAUUCCUUUUGCAAGCCGGGGUGUAGAUCCAACACUUCCAUUCUGCUGCUCAUGGAUACCAUUCAUAGAACCAUUUGCAGGAUCAACUUGUUGACAUGAGAGAUCAAGUUGCAUCAUUCCUUCUGCUCCUUGUACUUCUCCAAGCCUAGGUGUAGAUUCGAUACUAGUAGCACUGCAGAUUUCAAAAGAAUCAAAUUCAUCCUCUGGAGAGACCUUUAUAACCUCAACAGUCAAUUUCUGCCCCAAUUCUUGUCCUGAAGGGAUCUUAAAAGAACUUCUGAGGUAUUUUUUCAAUUUCUCCAUUAUGCUGUUCAGCAUUAUCCUACAAUCCCCAGAGUCUUUUUCAUUUGUAGGUAAAAAGAACUCCAAUACGUAAAUGCAAUUGUUCGAGCAAGAGCUCUGCAAACAAACUGCAAAACAGGCAGAGGUCUUCAAGUAUCGUGCAAUGGGUGCUAACGGGUUGUCUGUUAUGCUUAAUUGUCUGACAUCCCUACAAAAGCAUGCACUUUUGGAUGAGAAUGCUUUUCCAACUACCCCUUGUCCCUUCCAAAUAAAUUCUGUGGCACCAUGAAGACACAGUAUUUCUCCAAAAGCAGUCCAAAUUCCAUAUAUGUUCCUCACCUUAACCAAUGCUUUGUCAAUUAUAGCAAUUUCUCCACGUUGACCUGUAGAGGAAUGGCUUAAAAAUAUUAGCAUGGAAUGAAUAGCCUAAAGCUUCAGCCAAGAUUAUGCAGUAUAAAAGAAGGGAAAAAAACACUUAGAGGUACUCACAUGAAUUUACUUUCGCGAGGAGGCUUACACAAGUAGUUGUCAGAUUCAACUCCCGUGGUAGAUUCUGCAAACACAUUAUCCAUGAGCCAUAAAUAAAUUAAAUUGUUAUUUACAAGUUUCAAAGUGUUUGUUUCGGCAUUUAAAAGCUGUUUGACAACAACAGAUUUGCAACCCCAAAAAAAAAAAAAGAAUAAGCUCUUUGAAUGCGUAGUCAACUAAUUUUGGUAUAGAAGUUCCGAAAAGCCAAAACCUCCUUCAAACGCCAUAGAUUUUUUUAGAAUCAACAUCUUUCGGUUAAAAAAUAACUUAAAAAGAAAAGAUUAAUAUGAAGGUGAGAGUCACCAUAGUUUUUGCAGUUAUAAGCAGUUAAAAAAUUGGUUAUUGAUACAUUGAAAAGAGACCUCUCAUUAGAUUAAUUUAUAAAAGCAUCUCUCCUACCACCUAACAAUUGGAAACCCGUGACCUCUAGAAACCACUAUUUAUCCCCAAAUUUGUAAAGGACAUGGAGACAUACAAAAUUCAUGCACUAUUCAUGCAUCCCCUAUUCUAAGUUAGAUUUAUCACGAAAUUCUUAUUAAGUGCCAUGCUACCACAAAUCUUGCACUAUAUAACACCUAGUUCAAAUAAUAAAUUAAUUAAUUAUCUUUACAUUAGUCAUCACAAACGAAUUAUUUAUGACCUGGGAUCCGUCCUCUAAGCUCAUCUUUAUAUAUAUAUAUAUAUAUAUAUAUAUAUAAGGGAGGGAGUCUGCACCCAUUUCAUAUAUAUUAUCUAAUUUAUUGAUAAAAAUUAUACUAAUAAUUAUAUAACUCAUAAAUGAUUAACAACACCACCCCCAGGUCCUUGUCAGCAAUAGGAAAGAAGUAAUUAAGCAACUUAAAAAGAGAAAUGUCGAACCUCAAGCUUCUCCAGAACCCGACGUCGAGGUAAUCUGUAAAAAUCAGUUGCUGAUACAAUUUCCAGUACACCAAUGGGGAGGUGCUGAGUAGGAUGAUGAUAGAUUGGCAACGCCCAGUAUUGCUUAACACGAUCGACCGCAUAAUCACGUUGAGGAUACUCUCUAAUAGUGUAACCAGCCACAUAAGGUGCAUAUUCAGGCAACCCACUGCGGAACACCCGACCAGGGGGACCAAUCUCAUGAUCAUCAUCAUCUUCAUCGACGGGUAUAAGGUACUCCAAACAGUGCUUCCUAUAUUCACAUAGUUGCUCGACGAUUGAACCAUCGAAGCAGUAGUAAUGGAGAGCAAAAGGCUGGUCACAAGUUGUCAAAUACGUUUUGUCCCCAAUCUUCACUAAACCCCAAAAUUGAACUAGACACCGCAACCACGAUAUUGCUUCGAUAACAAGUGGUAGAAACCAUUUGAUGUGGUCCUUAAUCACGGCACCGUUAGCAGCUGCAAUAGGAAAAUCAUAUAUAAAAAAUAUAUGAACUGUUUGUUUCAUUUAUUUAUUUAUUAAUUGCAGAGUACUCUGC